rnacentral:rRNA from 5 species
CGCGACCCCAGGUCAGGCGGGACUACCCGCUGAGUUUA